rnacentral:rRNA from 1 species
UCCGUAGGUGAACCUGCGGAGGGAUCAUUGGUGGAACACGCCUCGCGGCGUACCCAGAAACCCUUUUGUGAACUUAUACCUUUUAUCGUUGCCUCGGCACGGCCCGGGGGGCGCUUCAGCCCCUCCCAGCCUCGCGGCUGGAGAAGACCUGCCGGUGGCCCAAUAAACUCUUGUUUUCUGAACGUAUCUCUUCUGAGUAACAAACAAAAAAAAAUGAAUCAAAACUUUCAACAACGGAUCUCUUGGUUCUGGCAUCGAUGAAGAACGCAGCGAAAUGCGAUAAGUAAUGUGAAUUGCAGAAUUCAGUGAAUCAUCGAAUCUUUGAACGCACAUUGCGCCCGCUGGUAUUCCAGCGGGCAUGCCUGUUCGAGCGUCAUUUCAACCCUCAAGCUCCCGUGCUUGGUGUUGGGGCACAGCCUUGUCAAAGAGGCUGGCCCUCAAAUUUAGUGGCGAGCUCGCUAAGACUCCGAGCGUAGUAAUUACUUCUCGCUUAGGUUGACUUAGCGGCCCUCUGCCGUAAAACCCCCUAAAUUUUUCUGAAAGUUGACCUCGGAUCAGGUAGGAAUACCCGCUGAACUUAAGCAUAUCAAUAAGCGGAGGA